CCUACGGGAGGCAGCAGCGAGGAAUAUUGGUCAAUGGCCGGAAGGCUGAACCAGCGAAGCCGCGUGAAGGACGAAGGUGCCAAGCAUUGUAAACUUCUUUUGUCAAGGGACAAAAUCAGGCUCGAGAGCCUGACCGAGGGUACUUGAAGAAAAAGCAUCGGCUAACUCCGUGCCAGCAGCCGCGGUAAUACGGAGGAUGCGAGCGUUAUCCGGAUUUAUUGGGUUUAAAGGGUGCGUAGGCGGGCUGUUAAGUCAGCGGUAAAAGCCCGGGGCUCAACCCCGGCGAGCCGUUGAAACUGGGUGUCUUGAGAUGUCGAGAGGUAUGCGGAAUGCGCAGUGUAGCGGUGAAAUGCUUAGAUAUUGCGCAGAACUCCGAUGGCGAAGGCAGCAUACCGGCGGCGAUCUGACGCUGAGGCACGAAAGCGUGGGUAGCGAACAGGAUUAGAUACCCCAGUAGUC
rnacentral:rRNA from 1 species